UACGGGGGGGGGCAAGCGUUGUUCGGAAUUACUGGGCGUAAAGGGCUCGUAGGCGGCCUUCUAAGUCAGACGUGAAAUCCCUCGGCUCAACCGAGGAACUGCGUCUGAUACUGGAAGGCUUGAAUCCGGGAGAGGGAUGUGGAAUUCCAGGUGUAGCGGUGAAAUGCGUAGAUAUCUGGAGGAACACCGGUGGCGAAGGCGGCAUCCUGGACCGGUAUUGACGCUGAGGCGCGAAAGCUAGGGGAGCAAGCGGGG
rnacentral:rRNA from 1 species